GACAUAAGGACCGCACCGAUAUAUCAAGACUUUUUUUCAUUAUUAUUUAAUGGGAACCGUUAGCAUCUGCCCAUUGGACUCAUCUGCCUUUUAAAAAAAUGAACAUGGGCAACUUUGUCAUCUGCGCAGGAAAAAGUGAGACGCAUACUUAGAGUGGGGAGAUUACAGUUACAGUUUGUGAAAGCCAGAGCUGCGAUCCCUUCGCUUUGAAGAUUAUAUAGGGUUGAUGACGUUUGAAGGACGCUGACAACGGGAUUAGAUUUUGUGCAGUCUGACUUACUUCUCUUUACUACUUCGUGUUGUCCUCUAAAAAUUUGCGCAAUGACCUUUGGCGGCUUGGAACAUAGCGGCUGCGCCCGUGAGGUGGGCAGGCAAUAAGGCUUGACAGAAGAUGCGACGGGGGCGGUGGCUUGUCAGAUGGCUGGGGACAGGAAUGGCAAUCCUCUCUUUGCUUACCCACAGCUGGGGCCAGAACACCGGAGACUGGCACUAUGAGGAGUGCAAGCUGUCCCGGCCAGGCCCCCCUGCAACCAUAGUGACCAUUGAGGAGGAGAGCCCCAAUGGUACGGUUUUGGUGGAAAACAUGCAAAUUAAUGGCAGGGCCCAGGACCCAGGCAGAACCAUCUCACUGACUCUACUUGACAACUAUGAUUACUGGGUUAUACUGGAACCAGCACAGCAGAGACUUUACCUCAACAGCACUGGACGUGUUCUGGACAGAGAUCCUCCUAAUUUCAUCACAACGAUUGUGGUUAAUGUCCAAUGCACCAAUGAGCUUAUUGGUCUGGUCAUUUUACACGAAGUUCGAAUUGUUGUAAGGGACAAGAAUGACAACAGCCCAAAAUUUCAGCAAAUAAGCUACUAUGUUGCAAUAAAUGAGCUCACGCCAGUUUCAACUACUAUUUUCACCGGCUUCUCAGGAAAUAAUGGUGCUAUAGACAUUGAUGAUGGGCCCAAUGGACAUGUAGAAUACAGCAUCCUUUACAAUCCCAGUGAUCCGGUAUCUAACAACACAGUAAGAGUUGCAAACACGCUUUCAGGAAAUAUUCUUCUGGCUGAGAGGCUAAACUACGAGGUCAAAACACGCUACCUGGUAUUGGUCCAAGCCAGCGACCGUGCUCCACACCCACCAAACAGACUAACAGCUACCACAACUCUGACUGUGGAUGUCUUAGAUGGAGAUGACCUGGGUCCCAUGUUUCUGCCUUGUAUUUUAGUGAACAACAGCCGUGACUGCCAACCACUCACCUACCGUGCUGCUAUCCCUGAAUUUACUGAACCGACUAAACUGAACCCACUGAAUGUGACCCCACAUAUUCAGGCUGAGGACAUGGACAGAAACAUACAGCCUCCUUCAGAAAGACCUGGCAUUAUUUUUUACAUCCUUGUUGGUCAACCAAACACAUAUCCAGAGUAUUUCUCCCUGAACCAGACCACUGCAGAGUUGCGUGUUCUAAAGCCAGUUAACAGGGACCUGUAUCAAAGGUUUACCCUUGUCAUAAAGGCAGAACAGGACAACGGACAUCCCCUACCAGCAUAUGCUAACCUCAUUAUUGAAAUCCUGGAUGAGAACAACCAGGCGCCGUAUUUCCAGUUCGCUACCUAUCAGGGAUACGUGAGCGAGUCCUCCCCAGUGGGUACAACUAUCUCUGCCAGUGCCAACCUCACAGCUCCUCUAGGAAUCAUCGCUUUGGAUAAUGACAUUGAAGAGACCAAAGACCCUAUGGUUAAGAUUACCCUGGAUGACUACACCACAAUUUUCAGCCUGACCCCAACUGGUAUAAUCCGCUACCUGAGGAUCCUGAACCUUGUGGACCGGGAGAAGCAGAUGACCUAUACUUUAAGGAUGGUGGCAUCAGAUGGUGUCCAGCAGAGUAGCCCAGUAACCGUCAACAUCCUGGUUAUUGAUGCCAAUGACAAUACUCCCACGUUUGCGCAGUUCUCCUACAGCGUUCAAGUCUUUACAGAUAGGCAGCCAGGGCAGACAGUGCUACAGUUAACUGCAACAGACGCUGAUGAGGGCUUGAAUGGUCUGGUGACAUAUGAGAUCCUGGCUGGUGCCCAAGGAGAUUUUGUUAUUAAUAAUCACUCUGGACGCAUCACUGUGGCGCCUGGUGUCACGUUAACUGUGGGGCGAUCCUAUGCACUGACAGUCAAAGCCUCUGAUAAUGCACCCGGCAACCAGAGAAGGAGCUCCACAACAACAGUCUAUAUUGAGAUUUUGCCGCCUAACAACCAGAGUCCCCCACGCUUCCCCAUCCUCACCUACAAUCUAGAGAUCAGCGAGGCCAUGAGGAUUGGAGCUAUUCUCCUCAAUCUGCAGGCAACAGACAGAGAAAAUGAUCCAAUCACGUAUCGGAUUGUGAGCGGGGAUUCCCAGAAGGUCUUCAACCUCUCUGAAACGGUUGGACUUUUAUUUCUGGCCAAGCCUCUGGACAGAGAGACCACAGAUCAGUAUCGUCUAAUUGUCACUGCUUCAGAUGGCAACCCUGGAGGGACAUCCACUGCUACUGUGAGCAUAGUAGUGACUGAUGUCAAUGAUAACAACCCAACAUUUGACAUCACCCUUGGCACUAACUUUACUGUUCAAGAAGAAAAAGCCAAUCUGUUUGUUGGACAAGUCAACGCCACUGAUCCAGAUGAAGGAGUCAACGGCCAGGUUUACUACAGGAUUGUCAACUUUCCUGACCUGUUUGUAAUCAGUGCCAAUGGAAGCAUCUACACAAGACGUCCUCUAGACAGGGAGUUAAGGAAUCAUUAUAGCCUUGUAGUUGAGGCCUCAGAUGGGGCGGUAGACCCCAGAAAAACCACCUUGACGGUCUCGGUCCAGGUUCUGGAUAUAGAUGACAACAGCCCUGUCUUUUCACAACAAGACUAUGUGGUGAAUGUGCCUGAGAACAGCCCUGUGGGGACUGUGGUUCUAAAACUAACUGCUGUGGAUGCAGACCUCUUCUCCAACAUCACAUACCGCAUCAAGACUGAGUCAGCCAGGCAGCUCUUCUCUCUUAACCGUAUCACUGGAGAGCUAGCUUUGCUGCAGACCCUGGACUUUGAGAGCCUGGCAGCUAUGGGUGUGGAGGUGUCCUUCACUUUCCAGGUAGAAGCUGUCGACCAAGGAGGAGUAAUGCCGCCAGGACAGGCUACCGUCACAGUCCACAUCACAGACAUGAAUGACUUCUCACCCAUCUUCAGUAAAGACCUGUACAAGGGCUUGGUGGCACCCAAUGCAGUGAAGGGAACAGUCAUCACCACCGUUUUUGCUGUGGACCAAGACCCACCAGGCACUCCGGCCAGUUUUGUGCGCUACAGAGUGGACAUGGAAAAGUCCCUGUACAGCGGGAACAUCUUUGAUGUAGAAACAGAAACUGGCAGAGUCAUCACCAAGGUCAACCUCAGUGAAGAGCCCAGCGUCACCUUUAAGCUGUUUGUGAUUGCCUUUGAUAACGGGGAGCCGGUGAAGACAAACAGUACUUUGGUGGAGAUCACUGUCCUUCAACCCUCUCUCAUCCCAAUUUUCACUGAGGAAGAGUAUAGGUUUCCACCCGUUAAAGAGCUGUCACCAGUUGGCACUGCAGUGGGGACUAUUUUAGCUGCUGCUAUGAAUCAAACCAUCUUCUACUCCAUUGUUGGAGGAAAUGAACAAGGUCACUUUAAAGUGAACAACAGCACAGGUGUCAUCUACAUUGCCCAACCCUUGGACUAUGAAAAUGUAACCAGCUACAUCCUUAGGGUUCAGGCAGAUUCUUUGGGGGUUGUCAUGUCCAACCUACGUGUGCCUUCCAAAACCAACACAGCCAAGGUGUUCAUUGAUGUACAGGAUGAGAAUGACCACCCUCCCGUCUUUUCCAGGAAGCUCUACAUAGGUGGUGUGACUGAAGACACCAAGAUUUUCAGCUCCGUCCUUAAAAUAGUGGCCACUGAUAAAGACACUGGGAACUUCAGUGCCAUGGCAUACCGCCUAAUUAUACCUCCCACAGCAGAGGGUCAGGACAGCUUUGUCAUCGAGGUCUACACUGGAAUCAUUAAGUCAGCCAUCAUGUUUCGAAAUAUGCGCAGGUCCUACUUCAAGUUUGAUGUUAUUGCCACUGAUGACUACGGGAAAGGUUUCAGCAGCCGUAGUGAAGUGGUGGUUUCUGUAGUCAACGCAUUGGACAUGCAGGUUGUUGUCUCCACUGUCCCUCCUCAUUUAGUGGAAGAGAAGAAGGAGGAGCUCAUUCGUAUUCUGGAGCGCCAUGUCCAGGACCAGAUUCCUGGUGCCAAGGUGAUCGUGGAGUCCAUCGGGCCACGCCGUCACGGUGAUGGCUUUGAACUAGAGGACUACUCUAAGUCAGACCUAAUGGUGUAUGCCAUUGACCCACUAACAAACAGAGCCAUUUCACGGCAGGAGCUCUUCAAGUUUCUUGAUGGCAAUGUCCUGGAAAUAAACAAGGAGUUCCAACCACAUCUGGGUGAGGGUGGCCGCAUCCUUGAGAUCCGCUCACCAGACGUUGUGGCCAGUGUGAAGAAGGCUGCUCAAGCUGUGGGGUACACAGAAGGAGCGCUCCUGGCCCUGGCCAUCAUCAUCAUCCUCUGCUGCAUACCUGCCAUCCUCAUCGUCAUGGUCACCUACAAACAGUUCAAAGAGCGGCAAGCAGAGUGUGCCAAGACUGCCAGGAUCCAGAUGGCUUUGCCACCAGGAGGGAAAGCAGUUCCAGCCGCUGCCACCACUGCUAACCUAUACGAAGAGCUGGGCGACAGCAGCAUACUGCAGGCUAAAACAUCUGCCAUUGAAGAAGCCAACCAUAAGAGGAUUCUUAGCAACUUCACUUGUCGCACCAUUGCAGCCCAUAGCAACGGAGCACUGCUUGUCAACCUGCCCAAAUCAGCGAGCAAAGUAACAUAUCUCUCCGAUGGCAACCCACUCACAACCCACAACCCUGUGUAUGACGACAGCAGCCCACUUGGCAGUCCAGUUGUCUUUGCAAGAGAGGAGAAUCCAAAUGAGAAGCGUUUUGCCUUUUCUCCUUCCCAUUCAACAGGGUCAGGGUGUGUCUGGUCAAUGCCUGCACGCAUUCACGGAGGGCUACACGACUACGAUGUGUUGAGAAGGCAAGGUCUUAUGGACCAAAAUGAGUGGGAGCUGCAGCUUCUCCAAGCAGACAUGAGAGGCAAGCAUAAUCUCAAACAUUUGGACACGCCAUAUCUGAGUGGCAGCACCGAGUGUAAGUUAUCAGUCCGCGAGCAGGCCAGACAGUUUGAGCAGCAUGCUUUUCAAGAAUGUAAGCAAAACAGAGACUCGAUUGGUUCCCUUUCUUCCAUACUUGUCAGAGAUAUGGACAGUGAUGACAUGCUAGAGCUGACCUCAGAAACUCUGUUCUCCAUCAUGGAUAACCCUCACAGCCCCAUGAACGUGGGUAGAGAUGUGCCCCCCAGCAUUAUCAUUAUGCAAACAAAUGAUUCAUGGUCCUCAUCAAACCCGAGACCAAUGCCACCUGUUCUGAGAAAAUUCAGCUCAAGCAUCUCCAGCUACAUGACAGUGCAGCCCUGUCAGAUCACUGUUGAAAUCAUACCGGAUCCACCAGAAAAUCCACCACCCCCUCCUCCUCAGCAUUCACGACCGCCAUCCCCACUCACAUCUCCUCCACCAUCUCCUCCCUCCAAUCCACCUUCCCCUUCUUCCAAUCCACCAUCCCCUCCCCACUUCAAUAACUCUCAGAGUACAAAUUCUUCUUCUCCUCCUCCUGUUAGAAAGCCUGUUGCUCCCCCACCUCCCCCACCACUUCCUCCUCCCUCACCCGCUAGUGAUCAGCUACGGCCAGUGAUCCAGUUUGUCCCAACAGCUUUACCGCCUGUGUCCUCUCUUCGUCCAGUCUCAGAGAGAAAGUACCCCCCUCCCCUGACCUCAACAGAAAACGAUAUUGGGAAAAAGGAGCUGAAGGGGAUCCUGAAGAACAUUCACAAUCUGGCUGACAUUGAACGAUCUGUUGCCAACCUUUACAGCCAAGUAGACAAAAAUUGCAAGGUACCCAAGUUUAACAAGAAGCCACAAGUGACUGAGGAAUCAGACGGUGCUAACAAAUGGCAAAGCUUUGAUCCAGGUGAUGAGCAGUCAUUGCUAAGACAAAUCAACACCAGCUGUGAAAUUCAAAAUGAUUCAACAAGUUUGAACUGUGUUGAAAAUGGAGAGAGUCGAUCAGACAGUGCAAAGGAGUUUCAGCCGACAAGCCAACUGAACACAGACAGUCCCGAACCUGCAGAACUCAGUGAACUCAAUUCUUCUCAAUCAACAGUAUUCUGACUUUUUUAUUUUCAUAUUAUUUCCAUGUCUGCAUCUCUACGCCUGUCUUUUUUAUAUUGUUUGUACUAAAUAUUAUAUGGAGUAUCUGAUUCAUAUGUCAACAAUUUUAAACAAUUUUGACAGUUUUUUAGAGAAAACGUUUUUUUACUAGAAGUUUGUGUGCUUAACAAAUUCUAGCAACUUGUUAUGGAACGCAUGAAAAAAUUUGCAACACUACCUGCAUAAUAUGCUUAAAGGCUUACAUUAGAGCAAAAAACUGUUAAAAUAAGAGUUUGGUUAAUUUUUUUUGGAACGUUUUUGAUACAAUGUUACAUAUUAUUCAGCGUUAACAUGUUUGUUAGUUUGUGAUAUUAGACAAGAGUUCUUUCAUUUGUUAGAAUUAGUAUUCAUUAGUAUUAACAUUUCCUAGCCAAAUUCAGUUCAGUUUUUUAUACACUGACCACGAGAAAAUAGUUUUGCCAAAACAAACUUUGUAUUCCUCCUUUCAAAAUGUUUUUUUGUGAACAUGUGACAUUCUUUCCAGUACAGAAUAAAUGGCCAAAAGAAGUUAUAGUAACUACGCCAGGCCUAAAUGGGGCAAUAAUAGUUGUAUAGUAGUUAGCUACCUGGAAAUGUAGCGAAGUAAAAAAAACCUCAGUGUAAUAUUGUUGUGAAGGUUGUUUUUUUUUUUUUUGGAAAUAUCUUCUGUGGUUUAUAUCUUAAGCCUAUCAGUAAACAAAAAUGAGAAGUGCUUUCCAACUUCUGUUUUGGUAAUAAAAUUAAGUGUUUACAAAACAUACAUUUAUUGAUAAAGACUGUCUUGGGGCUCCCAGAGUCUCAAGGCCUAGCCUAUAGCUGCUACCCUGGCAAGCCCUUCCCAGCCCGCAGUUCUCAUGUCUAUUUCUUGACAUUAGAAUCUGACAGCUCCAUGUUAGAAAUUUUAAUUAUGUUUCUCACAGAAGAUACCUUAGACCUUAGACUAUUACUAUAUAUAAUUUGUUUCCUCCCAAUCAGGUAUGUCAAGUUGUAAAAUAGGUCAUAGAUUCACAUAUUUGCUACUAAACCACAUUCGGGAAGAUGUGGCAGUGUCCCUGAAGACACUUGGAGUAUGUAAUAAUCUUCAGCUGCUUCAAAAUACAUACAGGCAUGAAUGAUUUUAAACUGCAGAGAUGUGGAAAUCUGAAAUAAGCAGUGUCUCAUGGGUAACAAUACUAGACAAUAUACACAAACAAUGUAGAAAUAUGUCUACUUGUGUGAAUUGAAAGGCUCUUCACAUUCCCUCAGAGAUCUCAGUCUCUCAGCUAGAAAAAAUAGUAACUAUGAUGUUGGCGCAAUAAAAAAACACUAAUUAGGGAGCUAAUCAAUUGUUAUUAAAGGCUGUUGCCUUUGGGGUUGUUUUUUCCUCUCCUAUUCUCGGACUGUUUAUGUUUCUCUCCUUUACUUACCCUUGGCUCUCUUAGCAAUUAUGUCUAUAAUGCUCUUCAAUCCUUGGCUUCUCCUUGGUAAUCUUUCUUUUAGGUUUCCAGCAGACCCUGAAAGAUUCUUUGAAUGUUUUUUAUGCAGUUGUGUUUUUGUCAAUUCCAUUCUUUUUGCACUCAGCUUCUUAUAUUAUCUGCUCUUUAUUUUUUCCCCCACAUACUUAUUGUGUUUUUGUGUUUUUGUUUAAUCUGCAAUGACCCAAGACAAAUGGACUUAGCAUACCUCGUAUCCAGACCAAUGUAAUGUUUGAUUCAUCACAUGUUAUCACUGAUGGGAAGAUCAAGGUCUGGCAAAAAAAAAAGAAAAGGCUGGCUAAUUCUGUAUUCUGUGUUUACUACAUGGUGUAAUCUAUUUUUUAAACAUGCUAUUGGCACUUAUGCUGAUUCUGUCAACCCAAGAGUGGAGUGAACCAUCAUGGAUGGCAUUUUUAAUGUUUUGUUUUUAAAUUUCCUUUUAUUUGAUUUCCUUUUGGUCCUAAUUGAUGAUUUUAACCUAAAAUCUUCCUUUGAAAAAGUUUUCAGAACUAUGGAUGUGUGUUUCACGGAAGCUGAGAGCGGUUGUUUUCCGCAUAUACGUUUUCCCGAUAGUUUUCUCGAGAUAACGGAUUCAUAUAGAUUUUUCUUGAAUGCUCAUGAUCAGUUUCUCAGUGUUCUUAAAACCUUGCCAAGAAUGGACUCAAGCUGAAAAUAUCAGAUCGUGGAGAAAAUGACAUUGAUCAACAGAUCUGACUUUACUUCUGUUGAGGUCUAACUCAGGCUGAUACAUUUGUCUUGUAGAGAUAAUUUUUAUAUCAGUCCUUGUCAUAUAUGGAGACGACUGGCCUGAUUGCAGCUCAAAAGACAUUUACACUUAAGAGAUCCUGCUGAUAUAGUAAACUUACACUUAUAAGUGUUCUCCUGCUGUUGUAGCAUCCCUUUGAAAGAUGGAAUCAAGUUUAACACACGCAAAUCAUCUUGUCAUGAAUCACGAAGACUGUUUUCUCGUGACAAUGGGAUAAUUUAUCUCAAGAAAACGAAGUUUGUUUUCUCGAGAUAAAUCUUCCCGUUGUCAUGAGAAAACAGUCUUCGUUGUCUUUAGAUAACGAGAAAAUUAACUCGUUAUCUUGAGCAAACCACCAGGAAAAAGUAUAUGUGGAAAACAACCGCUCUCGGCUUCCACAGUGUUUUGUAUGACAACCAAUCCAAUAUUAGCAUGUUAUCAUUAAAUAUUUUUAGGCAAGCAAUGACCAGAUGAUAUGUGAAAAUUGGAUUUGGAUAAAUAUCCACUAGGCCACAAUAUGCUAAAUUGAGAUCUUUCACUACCUGAACAAAUCCACAUUUUUAAUAGGGCAGCAAAGUUAAAAACACAAUAUUAAAAGUAAUGGUUCAAUUUAGAUAAAUUAUAGAUGAAUGUACCACACCACUUUAGAUAUGUUUUGGAAGGACAACAUGUUAGAUAUUAGCAUUAGAUGGAUGAGACUUUGUGCAAACCAGAUACCCAAAGUGUAAAACAGAACAGGUGAUUGUAGGGUGAAUUCAAUGUGUAUAUAUUUAGGAGUUAGUACUGAGCUGGUAAUGAACUCUCCUAUUUUUUUCCACACUGUCUAGAAGUUGUUUCUAUCAUGUCCUUCUUCUGGGAUGCACUAUCCGAAAGCUGUUCUAUCAAGGAAAUAUAUUUCAUACAGAAAGUCUUAUGUUGUCUAUAGUACAGCUUUGGAUAUUUUCUGCACAUAAUUAUUUAAACCUUUCGUCUUUUGGAUUAUAAAUAAUACUACAACAAUGAACUUGAGGCUUAGGUCAAAGAACAGUCAUAAUACCUUCAGCUGAGCUUGCCCCAGGCAGCAAAAAUCACAUUUUAAAUGCCUUUAAAACAAGAUAAACUGUAAGAGGGUUGAAGGCAGAAUAUACUGCAGUUUAGGAAACAAACACCAAAACGCCUGAAAUAAUACAAGGAAAUUUAGGAUAUUUAACAGGUUAAAUUUAGUUUUUCUAUCCCUUAGCAAAACCAGCUUUAUCCUUUUAAUUAUUUUGUUAUAUUUGAUUUCACACUAGCAGGCCAGUGGCCGGCAUAUUUAUAUUGUCUAAAUGAGAGUGGGGGUGUUUCCUAUAUGAUGGCUCUAAUUUAACAGAAGUCCAGAACCUACUUUGUAUUCGCUGUUGCCUUACAUGCAGAAAUAUAUCAAAAUGUUAUUGGCAACUCUCUCAUACUGAUUAGGUCAGAAACAUCACCAUUCAAAUAAAAAUUAAGUAAAACCUAAUUCUAUGUACUGUCAAAGGUCACUUUAUUAGGCAUACCUGUUCAAUUGCUUAUUAAUCCAGAUAGCAGUAAAUCACAUGGUCGCAACUCAAUGCAUUUAGCCAUCUAGAUAUGGUGAAGAUGAGUCGCUGAAGCUCAACCUGAAUAUUAGAAUGGAAAAGAAAAGGAAUUUAAGUGACUUCGAAUGUGGCAGGGUUGUUGGUGCUAGACCGAAUGGUCUGAAUAUUUCAGACAAGGUUGAUUUACUGGGAUUUUUGUCCACAAACAUUUAUCAGAUUAACAGAAAAUGGUCAGAAAAGAGAUAUGCAAUGAGCAUUUUACGAUAUACGUAAAAUAUUCAAACAAACAGGCUACAGCAGCUGAAGACCAUACCAGGUACAGUCAGCCAAGAAAAGGAAACUGAGGCUACACUGUCACAAAAUUCACACACCAAACGUAGACAGCAACAGAUGGGAUAGACAUUGUGUGGUUCAAUAAGCCUGGGUUCUGCUGCCACGUUCAGAACUUGGCACAACACUAUGAAAGCAUAGAUCCAUCCUGCCUUGUAUCAAUGGUUCAGGCUGGUGGUUGGGUAUUUCCAAGCUCAGUAUCCCUUUAGUUGCUGUUUGACAUUUUUAUAUUUGUUGUGAAAUGAAAGCAGGAAAUAAAUCAACAUUACCUUUCAAUUGAAGGACUUUCCACAUGUUUGCUAAAUUAUUUACAGUAAUAACAAGUCAACUAGAGAUUAACUAGAUUUAUUAGCCUAUUUAUCUCAUUUGUGAACACUACAGUACAGUAUAAAACUAUAUAAUAAUUUCAGAUUUCUUGUCCUAAUGUGGUUAUCAGGCUGAUUUUCUCAACUCUCUUUCUACAUACUUCUCUAUUACCCAUCUUCCAAGUCUAUUUGUGUGCAGAUUUCCUAAGGCUGUUUACUGGGUUAUUUUCUGUGAUGUUGCAUGAAGCAGCAAUGGGUAGCAGCCCGAGCGAACAGGUCAUCAAUCAGAUCCCAUUCCCAUCAUCAACUGUGCCUGGGAGAUGUGGCAUAUGGCUGUGUCCUGUCUCUGCCCCAUGGUCCCUGCCCAUAACAACAGAUUACAGCUCUCCUGAGUAAUCUCACAUCAUUGCUUGACCGUAUAUCCAAGAGCAUGAAAGUGAUCAUUAUUCACGGGCCCAGACAAGUUUCAGUGUUGUACUUGUGAACUUGGAGGUUUGAAUAGAGCUACUUAUAUACUCGCUGUUUUUGAAUGACUUUUAUUUAAUGCCACUGCAGAUCUGCUCCUGUUCCCAAAAGCAGAAUUAAAAUGUUUUUUAUUAUAACAUUAUAACAAAUAUCAAGUGAUGUUUGUGAUAUGAGAUGCAUUGUUGUUGCCUCUGGGAAUAUCAUGAUCUCAAACAAACAAAAAAAAUAACUGACCACAAACAUUCUUGUUACACUGUAUUUGUUAUGUCUGCCCAUAGCUUCUCCCAGUUUGACAAUUUAAACACGGACUCCCCCUUUACAAUCCUUAUUGCAGUUUUGAUGUUUGCAUUCACUGCAUCUUUUUUUUCUCUCUUUUUAAUCGAGAUAGUGAAGUUGAAAAAAAAAAACAGCCUUUAUCAGCAUGAUAACUUUGCAACCUUUUGAAAACUGAACAAUAUCUGCAACUCUCAUUAAACCAAUGAAAAUGCACAGUAAGUAAAGCUGCAACUUCUUCACUGGUCUGCAGAAAAUAAAUACAAUAGUAAUGAAGACUUAGAAUUUCAUAUAUUUGAAAGUGUUUGAAAUCUUGCUCUUAACCAACAUUCAUACCUUACUUCUUUUUUUUCCUGCGCUGCCCAGGAGGCGCGGCCCAGGAAGACAGGAACUCUCCAUGGAGUCAGGCAUUGACCCAGGCCAAGACCAGUACACACAAGACUACUAUAAUUAUGACCAAGGAUAUGACUUUCCUCAGUAUGGGAGUCGGAGGAGGC